rnacentral:sRNA from 1 species
CUUCCACUACAUCCUCGCGACUAAUGACAAACUUUAUGCCAAAAAAGAAUACAGUACCUCAUUAGCCAAACGAUUUUCUAUAACGGAACCCUAUUUUUGGAACGUUCAGCAAUAAAUUAACUUGAUUUCUUAUGCUGCCCAGAGGAAAGGGGCCAUUAUAGGCCCCUUUCC